AAACCCUAGGGGUUCUUUAAUCAAUUGUAGCCUCUCAACACCCCUCCUCUCUCUCUCUUAAUUUUAUGAUUUUCUCCCUCUAAAAUCUCAAGCUCUCAACGUUUCUUUAAGGGCUUCAAUCAUCAAUCUUUAAGCAGCCAAGAUCCUCAAUUGCAAAGCUUGUUAUUAUCAUGAACAAGGAUGGUACGCCACCAUUUGCAUCGCCUGCCCAAAAUUGAAGUUUUUGUUUAUAACUUGUAAAAACAUUUAUAUCUUUUGAACUUUUUGUAAUUUUCUAUGUAGAUCUGACAUUAAAUAGACUUGGGUUUGUAAUAUAUUAAGAGUUAAGUAAUGUUUAUCAGCUUUUUGUAUGGAUUUAA